rnacentral:rRNA from 1 species
GACAGCAGCAGCCACGGGAACACGGAGGGUGCAAGCGUUAUCCGGAUUUAUUGGGUUUAAAGGGUACGUAGGCGGAUCUGUAAGUCAGUGGUGAAAUCUCACAGCUUAACUGUGAAACUGCCAUUGAUACUGCAGGUCUUGAGUAAAUUUGAAGUGGCUGGAAUAAGUAGUGUAGCGGUGAAAUGCAUAGAUAUUACUUAGAACACCAAUUGCGAAGGCAGGUCACUAAGAUUUAACUGACGCUGAUGGACGAAAGCGUGGGGAGCGAACAGGAUUAGAUACCCGAGUAGUCCCUGUCUCUUAUAC